rnacentral:rRNA from 1 species
CAGCAGCCGCGGUAAUACGUAGGGUGCGAGCGUUAAUCGGAAUUACCGGGCGUAAAGCGUGCGCAGGCGGUUAUGUAAGACAGGUGUGAAAUCCCCGGGCUUAACCUGGGAACUGCGCUUGUGACUGCACAGCUAGAGUAUGGCAGAGGGGGGUGGAAUUCCACGUGUAGCAGUGUAAUGCGUAGAGAUGUGGAGGAACACCGAUGGCGAAGGCAGCCCCCUGGGCCAAUACUGACGCUCAUGCACGAAAGCGUGGGGAGCAAACAGGAUUAGAUACCCCUGUAGUCCCUGUCUCUUAUAC